rnacentral:rRNA from 1 species
UACGUAGGGAGCAAGCGUUGUCCGGAAUCAUUGGGCGUAAAGCGCGCGUAGGCGGCCCUGUAAGUCCGCUGUGAAAGUCAAAGGCUCAACCUUUGAAAGCCGGUGGAUACUGCAGGGCUAGAGUCCGGAAGAGGCGAGUGGAAUUCCUGGUGUAGCGGUGGAAUGCGCAGAUAUCAGGAGGAACACCAAUAGCGAAGGCAGCUCGCUGGGACGGUACUGACGCUAAGGCGCGCAAGCGUGGGGAGCGAACAGG